AGUGAACGCUGGCGGUAGGCCUAACACAUGCAAGUCGAACGGCAGCACAGUAAGAGCUUGCUCUUACGGGUGGCGAGUGGCGGACGGGUGAGGAAUACAUCGGAAUCUACUUUUUCGUGGGAGAUAACGUAGGGAAACUUACGCUAAUACCGCAUACGACCUACGGGUGAAAGCAGGGGAUCUUCGGACCUUGCGCGAUUGAAUGAGCCGAUGUCGGAUUAGCUAGUUGGCGGGGUAAAGGCCCACCAAGGCGACGAUCCGUAGCUGGUCUGAGAGGAUGAUCAGCCACACUGGAACUGAGACACGGUCCAGACUCCUACGGGAGGCAGCAGUGGGGAAUAUUGGACAAUGGGCGCAAGCCUGAUCCAGCCAUACCGCGUGGGUGAAGAAGGCCUUCGGGUUGUAAAGCCCUUUUGUUGGGAAAGAAAAGCAGCAGGUUAAUACCCCGCUGUUCUGACGGUACCCAAAGAAUAAGCACCGGCUAACUUCGU
rnacentral:rRNA from 1 species